rnacentral:rRNA from 1 species
UGCCUACAACAUAGCAUUAAUGUAGCGGAUCCCAUUAGAACUUUAUAGUUAAGCACGCUCAGGCUAGAGUAGUACUGGGAUGGGUGAUCGCCCGAGAAGUCCUAGUGUUUUACGUGC